rnacentral:lncRNA from 1 species
AGGGGGAUCGCGGGGAUCAACGAGCGGCUGGACCGGCUCGUAAAUGUCCUCGAGCGUCUGGUGGAGAAAAUAAAUUAAUUUGGCUCAUUGAACUGUGUAUUCACUUCUUACCCAUUCACACUGUGGCGAUGAGAUUCUCCCGCGCGAGGACGGCGGCCCGGCAGGGAUCAGCUCGCAUCCCUCCGUCUGCUGCUGGUUCGUCAUGUGGGGCGAUGUGCUGCUCGGCCACGGGGAUGUGGUGCACGCUUGUCACAUAGUGAGUCACCAAACACCGACACACAGCGUUGCCAAAGUGCGAAUCACAGUCAACGCAAGUAUCGGCUCAACGCCAAUUUCUACACCACCUCCUGACUUUGCGUUGAUUAGCGCUGGAACCGACGCUCGUUUCGCGAUGAUAAAUCUGGACGUGUGCGCCGAUUUUGCGUACGCAAGGUUUUCUUGCGCCGCAAGCGUUGAUACAUGAGGCCCCAGGUCACUCCGACAUCUGCGCUCAAUUCCAAGCUGAUUGGGAUUUAUCAAGGAAACACACGUGGCUUUCGGCGCCCGCACACCUUGAUACAUAUGGAUUUUUUUCAGCGUGAUGGACCUUGCGUGCGCUCGUUUCUGAUAUGAGUCCCAUGCAAGUGUUGAUACAUGAGGCCCCUGGUGCGUUCCUGGUGAUGAUGUCUCCUCGUCAUCCCCUGGUCCAAGCGCACCAUUGUGAAGAUGAUGAGUGUGCGUCCGUUUUAUGUGAUAAUAAUAUGAGUUAUACACCCUGUACUCAUUUGGGCAGCCAUCAAUGCCACACACGACGCGAAAGUCGGGACUACGACUGUGUAAAGAGUUAACAUGACUCAGCAGCUUUUUAAGAGUCAGUGCCACAAACACAUAGCAGAUAAAACAACGCCAAAUAAUCUUCAAAGUCUAACGUUUGGUCAGUCAGCAUCACGUUAUACCGCCAUCUCUAAACCCCCGUAGCUUCCGUCUCGUUUGAAUAAACGUGCGACCAACGGAUGUUGAUUAAAAAAAGAUUCCGGUCCAUACUAAAGCAGAAGACGGGGUCCGCUUCUAUUUUAAUUAUCGUCUUGUUUCAUUUUAGCUCCACAGCACAAAAUGUAUUGGGAAAGAAACUACUUACAAGAAACGCUUAUAUUACAAACUUUCCAUAAAUUAAGAAACGAUGUGUUUGAAAUAAAUUUACGGAUGCAUUGGUUUCACAACCCCCCUCUUCUUCAGAAAUGGUAGCGACCCACGAGCUGAAGAAAGCCGAACACAGCCGAAGGUAACGCGGAGGAGUCGGAAGCGGGACGUACGCGGAAGUGAAAGCUCCGGUUCGAAAACUGAGUUUGUUUUGCAGACAGGAUCAGCGCUGCUGGUUAAAUCAUAGAGUUAGUAACACUUAAGUAAGACUGUUGAGGGAAGGGUGAGUGAAUGAAUAUUGUGUGGGAGUACCGGCCGAUGGCCUGUAAGGUCCGGUAGGACGGUACUCGUGCCAAUAGCUCUUUCUCCACCUAUUAUAAUAAUAAUACAUUUUAUUUGUAAGCGCUUUUCAAAAACACAGAGACGCUGUACAGAGUUAAGCAAUAAAAACACACAUCAAUAAGUAAUAAAAUUUACGGCAAUAUAAUAAAAACAUGUAGAAUCGGGUAAAAUCCAAAUAGCAAUAAAACACGCAUCAAUAAGUAAUAAAAUUUACGACAAUGUCAAUAAAAACAUGUAGAAUCAGGUAAAAUCCAAUGGGGGGGGGCUAGGAAGGAUGAAAGGCAGUGCGGAAGAGGUGGGUUUUGAGAAGGGUCUUGAAUCUGGUGAGGUCGGUGCAGUUUCUGAGUUCGAGUGGGAGUGAGUUCCAGAGGUUGGGGGCGGCGACUGAGAAGGCUCUGUCCCCCCAGGUUCGGUGCUUGGUCAGGGGAACUGUGAGGAGGUUGGCAUUGGCGGAGCGGAGGGUGUGGGAGGGGAUGUAGGGGUGGAGAAGAUCCUGUAGGUAGGGGGGGGCGAGGUUGUGGAGUGCUUUGUGGGUGAGGAGGAGGAUUUUGUAUUGAAUGCGAUGGGGUAUGCGGAGCCAGUGAAGGUUUUGGAGGACGGGGGUGAUGUGUUGAUGGGAGCGUGUGUGGGUGAGGAGGUGGGCGGCUGAGUUCUGGAUAAGCUGAAGUUUAUUGAGGAGAGUGGAGGUGGUGCCAUAAAAGAGACUGUUACAAUAAUCUAGACGAGAUGAAAUGAAUGCAUGUAUAAGGGUUUCAGCUGCAGGGUAGGAGAGGGAGGGGCGGAGGCGGGCAAUGUUUUUGAGGUGGAAGUAGGCUGUUUUAGUAAUUUGCUUUAUGUGGUGGGUGAAGGAGAGGUUGCUGUCGAAGAAAAUGCCAAGGUUGCGACAGUGGGAGGAGGGGGAGAGGAUGGAGUUGUCGAUGGAGAGAUGAAAGUUUGUGACUGUGGAGGUGAGGGAGUUUGGGCCGAUGAUGAUGAGAUCUGUUUUGUCAUAAUUGAGCUUGAGAAGAUUGCUGUCCAUCCAGUGUUUGAUGUCAGAGAGGCAGUUUGAGAGGGAGCGUUGGGUCUGGGGGGUGAUGGAGUUGGAAGAGAUAUAUAAUUGAAUGUCAUCAGCAUAGCAGUGGAAGUGGAGGUUGUGUUGACGGAGGAUGUGGCCAAGAGGGAGGAGGUAGAUGAUGAAGAGGAGGGGACCAAGCACCGAGCCCUGGGGGACACCUUGGGCCACAGGGGCGGUUGUGGAGGAGCAGUUGUUAAUAUGGAUGAAGUGAUUCCGGUCUGUGAGGUAAGAGUGGAUCCAGUUAAGAGCGGUGUCUGUGAUAUUGAGGAGGGAGUGUAGGCGGGACAGAAGGAUGGCAUGGUUGAUGGUGUCGAAAGCAGCGAAGAGGUCGAGGAGGAUGAGGAUGGAGAGUUGGCCAGAAUCAGCAGAGAUGAGGAGGUCAUUUGUCACUUUUAUGAGGGCAGUUUCGGUGCUGUGGUGGGUGCGGAAUCCUUAUUGAAA